rnacentral:rRNA from 1 species
GAUGAACGCUGGCGGCGUGCCUAAUACAUGCAAGUCGAGCGGACGGACGAGAAGCUUUCUUCUCUGAUGUUAGCGGCGGACGGGUGAGUAACACGUGGAUAACCUACCUAUAAGACUGGGAUAACUUCGGGAAACCGGAGCUAAUACCGGAUGAUCUUUUGAACCGCAUGGUUCAAAAGUGAAAGACGUUCUUGCUGUCACUUAUAGAUGGAUCCGCGCUGCAUUAGCUAGUUGGUAAGGUAACGGCUUACCAAGGCAACGAUGCAUAGCCGACCUGAGAGGGUGAGCGGCCACACUGGAACUGAGACACGGUCCAGACUCCUACGGGAGGCAGCAGUAGGGAAUCUUGCGCAAUGGGCGAAAGCCUGACGGAGCAACGCCGCGUGAGUGAUGAAGGUCUUCGGAUUGUAAAACUCUGUCAUUAGGGAAGAAGAAAGGUGUAAGUAUCUGUGCACAUCUUGACGGUACCUGAUGAGAAAGCCACGGCUAACUACGUG